GUCAACGUGGCCGAGUGGUUAAGGCGUCAGACUUGAAAUCUGAUGGGGUCUCCCCGCGUAGGUUCAAAUCCUGCCGUUGACG
rnacentral:tRNA from 1 species